rnacentral:rRNA from 1 species
GCAUAGAAUUAUUGCUGCGGUUAAAAAGCUCGUAGUUGGAUCUGUGCCACGGGAGUCGGUCCAGCCUCACGGCUGCGCACUGGCCACCCGCGCUUUCCGGUCGGUUUUCGCGUCGGGGCUUUUACCGGCUGCGGCGCGUGGCUGACGAGUUUACUUUGAACAAAUCAGAGUGCUUAACACAGGCGUUUCGCUUGAAUGUUCUUGCAUGGAAUAAUAGAAGAGGAUCGCGGUCCGAUUUUAUUGGUUUUAUGGACUGAGAUAAUGGUUAACAGAGACAAACGGGGGCAUUCGUACCGCUGCGUGAGAGGUGAAAUUCUUGGACCGCAGCGAGACGAACUACAGCGAAAGCAUUUGCCAAGAAUGUCUUCAUUAAUCAAGAACGAAAGUCAGAGGUUCGAAGGCGAUCAGAUACCGCCCUAGUUCUGACCGUAAACGAUGCCAACUCGCGAUCCGCCGGCGGAUUCGUUCSCCCUGGUGGGGAGCGUCCCGGAAACRAAAGUCUUCCGGUUCCGGGGGAAGUAUGGUUGCAAAGCUGAAACUUAAAGGAAUUGACGGAGGGGCMCCMCCAGGAGUGGAGCCUGCGGCUUAAUUUGACUCAACACGGGAAAACUCACCCGGCCCGGACACCGUAAGGAUUGACAKAUUGAUAUCUUUUUCAUGAUUCGGUGGAUGGGGGUGCAUGGCCGUUCUUAUUUCGUGGAGCGAUUUGUCUGGUUUAUUCCUAUAACGAGCGAGACUCUACCCUACUAACUAGUCCACACAUUCCCCUCGGUGUGUGCCUACUUCAUAGAUGGACGGUGUGUGGCCGCCCGCACUAGAUAGAUCAAUAACUUGUCUGUCACUCCCUUCCAUGGAGGGGCCUGCCCGCGCGCUCGCUGAACUAAAUCAGCUUGCCUGUCCUCUCUCGGAAGAGAUAGAUAAAUCAAUGAACAUUC